GACGAACGCUGGCGGCGUGCUUAACACAUGCAAGUCGAACGGAAAGGCCUGCUUUCCCUUGUGGAUUGCGGGUACUCGAGUGGCGAACGGGUGAGUAACACGUGAGUGAUCUGCCCCCAACUUGGGUAUAAGCCUGGGAAACUGGGUCUAAUUCCCAAUAGGACUGCAGGGUGGUGCCUGUGGUGGAAAACGAUUUUCUAGUGGUUGGGGAUGAGCUCGCGGCCUAUCAGCUUGUUGGUGGGGUAAUGGCCUACCAAGGCGGCGACGGGUAGCCGGCCUGGGAGGGUGGACGGCCACAUUGGGACUGGGAUACGGCCCAGACUCCUACGGGAGGCAGCAGUGGGGAAUAUUGCACAAUGGGCGGAAGCCUGAUGCAGCGACGCCGCGUGGGGGAUGACGGCCUUCGGGUUGUAAACUCCUUUCGACCGCGAGGAAGCCACCUGGUUGGAAGGGUGGUGACGGUAGUGGUAGAAGAAGCACCGGCUAACUACGUG
rnacentral:rRNA from 1 species